rnacentral:rRNA from 1 species
GACGAACGCUGGCGGCGUGCUUAACACAUGCAAGUCGAACGGAAAGGCCCUGCUUUUGUGGGGUGCUCGAGUGGCGAACGGGUGAGUAACACGUGAGUAACCUGCCCUUGACUUUGGGAUAACUUCAGGAAACUGGGGCUAAUACCGGAUAGGAGCUCCUGCUGCAUGGUGGGGGUUGGAAAGUUUCGGCGGUUGGGGAUGGACUCGCGGCUUAUCAGCUUGUUGGUGGGGUAGUGGCUUACCAAGGCUUUGACGGGUAGCCGGCCUGAGAGGGUGACCGGCCACAUUGGGACUGAGAUACGGCCCUGACUCCUACGGGAGGCAGCAGUGGGGAAUAUUGCACAAUGGGCGGAAGCCUGAUGCAGCAACGCCGCGUGCGGGAUGAAGGCCUUCGGGUUGUAAACCGCUUUCGCCUGUGACGAAGCGUGAGUGACGGUAAUGGGUAAAGAAGCACCGGCUAACUACGUG